GACGAACGCUGGCGGCGUGCUUAACACAUGCAAGUCGAACGGAAAGGCCCUGCUUGCAGGGUACUCUAGUGUCGAACGGGUGAGUAACACGUGGGUGAUCUGCGCUCCACUUCGGGAUAAGCCUUGGAAACUGGGUCUAAUACCGGAUAGAAGCCAUCUUGCGUGUGGUGGGUGGAAAGUUUUUUCGGUGUAGGAUGAGGUCGCGGCCUAUCAGCUUGUUGGUGGGGUAAUGACCUACCAAGGCGGCGACUGGGAGCCGGCCUGUGAGAGGGUACGGCCACAUAGUGGCAGAGAGACGCGGCAGAGACUCCUGGGGGGGAGAGGAGUGGGAUAUUUUGCAAUAUGGGCGAGCGUGAGGCAGAGCAGCGGCGUGUGCGAUGUAGCGGUUUGGGUUGUGAACUCCUUUCGCUAGUGACGAAGCUCUGGAGUGACGGUACCUAGAAAAGAAGCACCGGCUAACUACGUG
rnacentral:rRNA from 1 species